rnacentral:rRNA from 1 species
AGGUCACUGCUAUCGAGGUUCGACUAAGCCAUGCGAGUCGAAUGCCGCAAGGCAUGGCGUACUGCUCAGUAACACGUGGAUAACCUACCCUUGGGACGGGCAUAAACCCGGGAAACUGGGUAUAAUUCCCGAUAGGUCUGGGAGGCUGGAACGCAUUCAGACUGAAAGCUCCGGCACCCAAGGAUGGGUCUGCGGCCUAUCAGGUAGUAGUGGGUGUAACGUACCUACUAGCCUACUACGGGUACGGGUUGUGAGAGCAAGAGCCCGGAGAUGGAUUCUGAGACACGAAUCCAGGCCCUACGGGGUGCAGCAGGCGCGAAAACUUUACAAUGCGGGCAACCGCGAUAAGGGGACCUCGAGUGCCGACAUCAAAUGUCGGCUGUCGUGAUGCCUAAAAAGCAUUACAUAGCAAGGGCCGGGCAAGACCGGUGCCAGCCGCCGCGGUAACACCGGCGGCUCGAGUGGUGACCGCUAUUAUUGGGUUUAAAGGGUCUGUAGCCGGCCGGAUAAGUCUCUUGGGAAAUCUGGCCGCUCAACGGUCAGGCUUUCAGGAGAUACUGUCUGGCUCGAGGCCGGGAGAGGUGAGAGGUACUUCAGGGGUAGGGGUGAAAUCUUGUAAUCCUUGAAGGACCACCAGUGGCGAAGGCGUCUCACCAGAACGGACCUGACGGCAAGGGACGAAAGCUAGGGGCACGAACCGGAUUAGAUACCCGGGUAGUCCUAGCCGUAAACGAUACUCGCUAGGUGUCGGCCACGGUGCGACCGUGGUCGGUGCCGCAGGGAAACCGUGAAGCGAGCCACCUGGGAAGUACGGCCGCAAGGCUGAAACUUAAAGGAAU